rnacentral:rRNA from 1 species
ACGGGUGAGUAACGCGUGGGAACGUACCUUUUGGUUCGGAACAACACAGGGAAACUUGUGCUAAUACCGGAUAAGCCCUUACGGGGAAAGAUUUAUCGCCGAAAGAUCGGCCCGCGUCUGAUUAGCUAGUUGGUGAGGUAAUGGCUCACCAAGGCGACGAUCAGUAGCUGGUCUGAGAGGACGAUCAGCCACAUUGGGACUGAGACACGGCCCAAACUCCUACGGGAGGCAGCAGUGGGGAAUAUUGGACAAUGGGCGCAAGCCUGAUCCAGCCAUGCCGCGUGAGUGAUGAAGGCCCUAGGGUUGUAAAGCUCUUUUGUGCGGGAAGAUAAUGACGGUACCGCAAGAAUAAGCCCCGGCUAACUUCGUGCCAGCAGCCGCGGUAAUACGAAGGGGGCUAGCGUUGCUCGGAAUCACUGGGCGUAAAGGGUGCGUAGGCGGGUCUUUAAGUCAGGGGUGAAAUCCUGGAGCUCAACUCCAGAACUGCCUUUGAUACUGAAGAUCUUGAGUUCGGGAGAGGUGAGUGGAACUGCGAGUGUAGAGGUGAAAUUCGUAGA